rnacentral:ncRNA from 1 species
CAUGAUUAAAGGCAAAACCAUUGAAAAAUGGUGACGCAAAGCUUAAGGGACUAACGUGUGAAAGGAACUAGACCAAGUAACACUAUGUUUGCCAGCUGCCUAU